ACACGUCCAUUAACUCUGGUAC
rnacentral:miRNA from 1 species